UGGGGAAUAUUGCACAAUGGGCGCAAGCCUGAUGCAGCCAUGCCGCGUGUGUGAAGAAGGCCUUCGGGUUGUAAAGCACUUUCAGCGAGGAGGAAGGUGGUGAGCUUAAUACGCUCAUCAAUUGACGUUACUCGCAGAAGAAGCACCGGCUAACUCCGUGCCAGCAGCCGCGGUAAUACGGAGGGUGCAAGCGUUAAUCGGAAUUACUGGGCGUAAAGCGCACGCAGGCGGUUUGUUAAGUCAGAUGUGAAAUCCCCGGGCUCAACCUGGGAACUGCAUUUGAAACUGGCAAGCUAGAGUCUCGUAGAGGGGGUAGAAUUCCAGGUGUAGCGGUGAAAUGCGUAGAGAUCUGGAGGAAUACCGGUGGCGAAGGCGGCCCCCUGGACGAAGACUGACGCCCAGGUGCGAAAGCGUGGGGAGCAAAACAGGAUUAGAUACCCUGGUAGUCCACGCUGUAAACGAUGUCGAUUUUGGAGGUUGUGCCCUUGAGGCGUGGCUUCCGGAGCUAACGCGUUAAAGUCGACCGCCUGGGGAGUACGGCCGCAAGGUUAAAACUUAAAUGAAUUG
rnacentral:rRNA from 1 species